rnacentral:piRNA from 1 species
UGAAAUUUUAAUUUCCACAUU